AGCAGGGGCUUGCGGAGUUCCAAACUGAAAUUGAAAUGCUUUCUCAAUUCCGUCAUCGCCAUCUAGUGUCUUUGAUUGGUUAUUGUGAUGAAAGGAAUGAAAUGAUCUUGAUAUAUGAAUAUAUGGAGAAGGGUACUCUCAAGGGUCAUUUAUAUGGUUCAGGUCUGCCAAGCUUAAGCUGGAAGGAGAGGCUUGAGAUAUGCAUUGGAGCAGCUAGAGGGCUUCAUUACCUUCACACUGGCUAUGCUAAAGCAGUUAUUCACCGCGAUGUGAAGUCUGCAAAUAUCCUACUUGAUGAGAACCUGAUGGCUAAAGUUGCUGAUUUUGGAUUAUCAAAGACGGGGCCUGAAAUUGACCAGACACAUGUUAGCACAGCUGUUAAAGGUAGUUUUGGGUACCUUGAUCCGGAGUAUUUUAGGAGGCAACAACUAACAGAAAAGUCAGAUGUAUAUUCAUUUGGGGUAGUUCUGUUUGAAGUUCUUUGUGCAAGGCCUGUCAUAGAUCCAACACUUCCUAGAGAAAUGGUAAACUUGGCAGAAUGGGCGAUGAAAUGGCAGAAGAAAGGACAGUUGGAGCAAAUCAUAGAUCAAACACUUGCAGGCAAAAUAAGACCAGAUUCUCUAAGGAAGUUUGGAGAAACUGCUGAGAAAUGCUUGGCUGACUAUGGUGUGGACAGGUCUUCUAUGGGAGAUGUCUUGUGGAAUUUGGAGUAUGCUCUCCAACUUCAAGAGGCCGUGGUUCAAGGUGAUCCUGAAGAAAACAGCACCAAUAUGAUUGGAGAACUCUCUCCACAAGUCAAUAAUUUCAACCAGGAUGCAAGUGCUUCUGUUACACAAUUUGCUGGCUCAAGCCUCGAUGAUCUGUCUGGUGUUUCUAUGAGUAGGGUGUUCUCACAGUUGGUGAAGUCUGAGGGUAGAUAGAUGGUUCUGGAUAUCCUAUCUUAUAAAUUUUGUGGGACAGUACUCUUCUGUUAUAAUUUUUGUUGUUUGUCUUCUGAUCACUAGCUCUCUGCCCCGACUCGGAAGAUUAGGCUCUUCAUAUCAUAGAUUUGUAAAGAAAGACUGAGUUAAUGAAAUAUAUAUGUUUGCUUAAUUGGUAAUCAGAGAAUCUACUUGUUAAAACUCUGGUUUCUCAGGUUCGAAUUGAACUGUCUUGAAAAGCCAGUGUAAGUUGUGCAACUGCAACCGCUCAGGUGUACCUUAUCAGCUGGAGAAAGAGCUGAAUCAGCAAGUGUGGCAAAGUUCUCUGAUUAAACUGCCAUAUAGAGUUAGGUUAGAUGUUUUGGAUUUGUAUCUUUUAUACUUUUUGUGACCCGAGAGGGUAUUGUAGGAGUGGAUUUUAGGCAAUUUCCAAGCAUGGUUUUUUAUAUUCUCAGUCAUUUGUUACCUCUACUAUAUUUCUGAUGUACUUGCUGUUAAUACAAGCUACAUGGUUUAUCAUAUUUUCUGUCAUUUAUUUCCUCCAAUUGAUUUCUUAUGUAUUUGCUGUUAAUACAAGCGCGGUUAGAAUCUUUGUGCAUUGGCACAAGGGAUGCCAAGUCUGAUGCAACAAGAUAAUACAUAGGGAGUAACUUAAUGGCACUAUAGGAAAAAGCUGUAGUCUGCAUAAUAAUAAAGCUUGUUAUUGUUUCCCUCCUUAAUAUUGCUAUGCCCAACACCAAAAGAACAUAUUGUUACCACAACCAAUCCCGAGCCAUGUGUCUAACCACCCCAAUCCUUUGAGUUUGUGGAUACCUUAUUCCAGUUUUCAAAUCUCUGAGAAAAUAUUUUUAGUUUUUAUUUUAUUAAUAAUUAUAAAAAUAUCACCUCUUUUUUUAUCAGUCACCUCAUUUUUACUUUGCUUUAUAUUCUUAAAUAUUUAUGUAGGAAUCAAUAAAAAUAAUAGAAAAACUCAUGAAAAUAAAAAAAUACUUUCACUUCAUAAUUGUUAGCGAAAACAAAAAAAUUCCUUUUUCAAACUAAAUAGGCUUAUGCUUUCAUUUUUUAUUUUACUAACAGAAAAAGUAUUUUAAUCUUAUUUUUUUCUUUAUUUUAAAAUUUUUAUGAGUACUGAACCCUAUAAAGACUUGGUUAAUCUUAGAAAAUAUUUUGUUUUUAUUUUAUUUUUUACAAAUAAUUUUAAAAAUUUACUAUAUUUUUAUUUUAACUGUUUAUACCAAAAGUUGCAAAAACAAUAUUUUGUCAUCUUUUUUUUUCGUUUAUAUUAUAAUUUUUAAAAUAAAAAAUAAAAACAUCACUUUUAUCAUUAUUCAUAAAAAAAUCACAAUUCAAACAAAUCUAAAAUGUUGUUUUCACCAUUUUAUAUAUAAAUUUUAAAAAAGUUAAUAUAAAAAUAUGAUAACAUUGUUUAUAAGGUUUUUUUUUUAAAUUGUCUCACAUAGUCUCUAAAAAAAUUGCCUCACAAAAAAUGAAUGAUAAGAUGAGAAGUAUAUAAAGAUAAAAUGAUCCGUGAACUUAAUAUUUUGUAGUUUUGAAAUAAAAUUGUAACAUUGAGUUCACUAUUACUAAACAAAUUUAUUUACUAAAUACUCAAAUAAAUUUUUCAACUAGUAAAAAACUUUAAAAUUAGUUAAAAUGUUUUGUCAAACAUAAUCAUAAUUAUGUAUUUGUUAUUUUUGUGAUAACAGUUAUUAUGAUUUAAAAUAAAAAUUAAUUUCAAUUUUACGUGUAUAAAUAGUAAAUAUUUUUAUAAAAAAUAUUACUUAUUAAAAACUAGGCUUUUAAACAAUUACAAAGAAAUGUUUUUUUAGCUCUACUUAAUAGGUUUCUAAUCCAUUUCUACAUAGAUUUUUGGAUCUUUAUUGUGCAUGAGACUUAAUUAAAGAUUUAAAAGUAUUUUUAGAGAUCAAAAUCACAAUACAUGUUAAAUUCAAAAAGUUAAUUUUUUAAUAUGUGAUAAUCAAGUGGAUGAUAAGGAACAUAGGUCACUUUAUUAUUGAAAGUGUCAAUAUAGGCCUAUUCGUUUGAUGGAACUACUUCUCAUACCAUGGAAAGUGUCAAUAUAGGCCUAUUCGUUUGAAAGUGUCAACAUAAGUCACUUUAUUAUAGCACAAAGGCAGUCAAAGACAUGGGUUCCUUUAUCCAUCAAAUGAUGGAACUACUUCUCAUACCAUGGGAAGUAAAUAUUCUAAUGGCACAACACUGAGUGCUGCUUCAAACUUUGAGUACCAUGUCCCUUUUGUGGCGGUUCAGGAGGCUAGAAAUAAUUUUGAUGAGUUGGGUUAUUGGCAUUGGUGGUUUUGGUAUAGUGUACAAGGGAGAGUUAAGUGAUGGCACAAAAGUGGCAGUCGAGAGGGGGAAUCCACGGUCAUAGCAGGGGCUUGCGGAAUUCUGAACUGAAACUGAAAUGCUUUCUCAGUUCCGUCGUCGCCAUCUGGUGCCUUUGAUUGGUUAUUGCAAUGAAAGGAAUGAAGUGAUCUUCAUAUAUGAAUAUAUGGAGAAGGGAACUCUCAAGGGUCAUUUAUAUGGUUCAGGUCUGCCAAGCUUAAGCUGGAAGGAGAGGCUUGAGAUAUGCAUUGGAGCAGCUAGAGGGCUUCAUUACCUUCACACUGGCUAUGCUAAAGCAGUUAUUCACUGCGAUAUGAAGUUUGCAAAUAUCCUACUUGAUGAGAAC
rnacentral:lncRNA from 1 species